AAUACGAAAUAAUUUUAUCUUCCAAGUAGAAAUCUGAGUCUUAUAUGCCAUUUAAAGAAAAAAUUCACGGAGCCAGGUUGCUGACUUCAAUAGAGGGCAAUUUUUCAUCAGCCAGGUACCAUAAUUAUAUCUUGACACAGGAGGGAGAACUGACUUACCAGCUUCGAUGCAUUCCGGCUUCAGGCAGUACUCCUGUUUGGCUUGGAGACUUAAGAAACCUUGACUCACUGAAAAAACAGACCAAAAUAAAGAAAUGACUGGCUGGUAGCAGAGCACCAUCAGAUUUUUCUGUAACCAGUGGAAAUGACCUCAGAAUGCAGUGGAGUCAUCCACAUAUCGGCAGCAUGAGAAGAACCAUAAAGCGGGGACUCAGCAUACUAUGGCCCAUGGGGCCAAGUCCAGUCUCCUGCCAGUUUCUGUACAGCCUGUGAGCUAAAAAUGAUUUUUAUGUGUUUUAAUGGUUGGAAAAAACCACAAGAAGAAUAUUUCAUAAAAUGAUCUGAAAUUCAAAUUUCAAUGUUCAGAAAUCAAAUUAUAUCAGAACACAGUCAUGCGCAUUUGUGUACACUUUUGUCCGCGGUCGCUUUCUUGCCACGACAGGGUCAAGUAGCAGCAACAGAGACUGUAUGGCCCAGAAAGCUGAAAACAUUUAUUAUCUGACCCUUUCCAGAAAAAGUUUG